ensembl:lncRNA
AGGAGUUGGUCCUGGUGGCGCUGGUACCGGCUUUGGACCUGGUGGAGGAGUUGGCCCAGGUGGCGCUGGUACCGGCUUUGGACCUGGUGGAGGAGUCGGCCCUGGUGGAGCUGGUACCGGCUUUGGACCUGGUGGAGGAGUUGGGCCUGGUGGUGCUGGUACUGGCUUUGGACCUGGUGGAGCUGCUACCGGCUUUGGACCUGGUGGAGGAGUUGGGCCUGGUGGUGCUGGUACUGGCUUUGGACCUGGUGGAGCUGGUACCGGCUUUGGACCUGGUGGAGGAGUUGGGCCUGGUGGUGCUGGUACUGGCUUUGGACCUGGUGGGGGGACCAGAUCGCAAGGAUAUGAUGCUGACGCAAAAGCCCGUAAAUAUGGCAUGUUGAGCGGCGCCCUGGGAGUACCUGGUGGUGCUGGUACUGGUAUCGGCCCUGGUGGAGCUGGCACUGGAUUUGGACCAGGGGGAGGAGUUCGGCCUGGUGGUGCUGGCACAGGUUUUGGACCUGGUGGUGCUGGCACAGGUUUUGGACCUGGUGGAGCUGGCACCGGUUUUGGACCUGGUGGAGCUGGCACCGGUUUUGGACCUGGUGGAGCUGCUAUCGGUUUUGGACCUGGUGGAGCCGGUACUGGUUUUGGACCUGGUGGAGCCAGUACCGGUUUUGGACCUGGUGGAGCCGGUACCGGUUUCGGGCCUGGUGGAGCUGGUACUGGCUUUGGACCUGGUGGAGCUGGUACUGGCUUUGGACCUGGUGGGACUGGUACUGGCUUUGGACCUGGUGGAGGAGUUGGUGCUGGUGGUGCCGGUUAUGGGCCUGGAGGUUAUGCUGGAGCCAAAACGCGUAAAUAUGGACUGCCAGGUGGAGCUGGGGGUGCUCUGGGUACAGGAUCUGUUGGGCUUGGAGUUGGAGGAGGUAUCCCAGGGCGAAGUGUUGGGAUAACAACAGGUGGAGGGGCUGGACUGGGGACUGCUGGAGUGCCUGGUUCUGGUGGAGUGGGUACUGGUGGAUUUGGACCUGGUGGUACUGGAGGAUUUGGCCCUGGUGGAUUUGGCCCUGGUGGAGUUGGUCCUGGUGGAUUUGGCCCUGGUGGAUUUGGCCCUGGUGGGGUUGGUCCUGGUGGACUUGGCCCUGGUGGACUUGGCCCUGGUGGAGGUGUGGGGACAGGAUUUGGACCAGCUGGAUUUGGGCCAGGAUAUGGGACUGGACAGAAGCCAUACAAAUAUACUCCACAUGCGGGGGGUGGUGGAGUCCUAGGAGAAGGAACAGGACGGACUGGCCAGCCUGGUGGCACUGUGCCUAGUGGGGGGAGAGGCAUUGCAGGAGCUACUAAUGCAAAUGGGACAGGAGUGUCAGGGAAUGGCACCAGACCAAUCAGUGGAGUAGCAACUACAGUAAUAGGUGAAUCGCAGGAUGGACUUGGAGCAACAGGGGUCACAACUUCCCCAACAUCAGAAGGGCGUGCGGGUACGAGAGGAAGAGAUGGAAAAGACAGUGACGGAGGUGAGAUUGGUGUGGGGAGUAUAAUUGAGGGGUCUGGAGGUUCU